UCUGGUUAGCUGGGCUGAA
rnacentral:misc_RNA from 1 species